rnacentral:rRNA from 1 species
CCCUUAGAUGUUCUGGGCCGCACGCGCGCUACACUGAUGCAUUCAACAAGUUUUACCUUGGCCGAGAGGCCUGGGAAAUCUUUCAAAUAUGUAUCGUGAUAGGGAUAGAUUAUUGCAAUUAUUAAUCUUGAACGAGGAAUUCCUAGUAAAUGCAGAUCAUCAUUCUGCGUUGAUUACGUCCCUGCCCUUUGUACACACCGCCCGUCGCACCUACCGAUUGAAUGAUCCGGUGAAGCCUCGGGAUUGUGCCCAGAGAACUUUAUUGUGAUUUGGGUGUGAGAACUUGUCUAAACCUUAUCAUUUAGAGGAAGGAGAAGUCGUAACA